AUCUGUGGGAUGGUGCAUAUAAAUAUCCUUUGCUGCUAAUGAAAAAAACAAUGUAGCGGGGUGUCUUAUCUGAUACUACAUGUCAAAAUUACCAAAUUUUUGACAUCCAAUAGCUCUAGAUGAGCUCAUUUCCUUUCAGUCUUAGUAAAUCCGCUUAUUUGGGAAUUUGCUGUUGGAAAUCCCAGAAGCAACGAAUCGACCGUGGAAAACCCUGUGGUUUCUCGAAAACAAUGAUCUCAUUGUCCAACCAGCGCCUGGCACUCCUUGUUUAUUGGGUACGAAGUACUUCACCGAUUUGAGUGGUCUAUAUAUAGCUCCGGCGAUUCCACUGGAUAACGUACCUGCGACCUAUAUAUACAUCUACACUUGUGACGAAGAAAGAAACAGUAGCAGUCCAUAACGACAUUCCGAAAUGAAUCCUAGUCCACACGAUAGCGGACCCAGUGUUGCUAGACCAUCUCAACCACCAAAGCCAAACCCAGGGCCGCGCCCACCAGUCAACAAACCAGCAGUUAAAAAGUAGACGGGCAUGUAGUGACGAUAUAUCAGCAGUGAAACGGUAGACGACAUUGGAGUUACAACAGAACGACAGUUAAAACGAAAACAAGAAAGGAUAACAACAGACCAGGAGUUAAAAAUAAAAUGGUAAUUGGAAUGCCAACACACCAGUGGCUAAAACAAAGACAAGAAAGGAUAACAACAGACCAGGAGUUAAAAAUAAAAUAGGAAUAGGAGUAACAACAGACCGGCAGUUAAAAAGUAAACCUUAAUGGGGUAAUAACAAAAACGGGCAGGUCAAAUAUUCACCAUCUUUGAGAACAGAGUAAUAACAUGUUGAGGUAAAAUAUUCACCAAACUUGAGAAUUGAGGAAUGACUCAUUCAGUUCAUAUAUUCACCAAACAUGAGAAUGGAGAAAUGAUAUGUUGAGGUCAAAUAUUCGAUGACCUCGCCUGCCACUGUGACUUGCCUGAGCAUACCACUGUAACAUUCCCGAUUAUACACGUAUAAUCAAACCAAAUGUCAGUAGUUUCACGAUGUGCUGAGAUGUCAAUAAACAAACAUACCUUUUCUUCUCUUUCUUGUUGAGAGGGAGCCUUUCCUUGAAUAAAAGAUAUUUUGUCGAGAAUAAACUGUUCAUCUCAUA